GCGCCAGUAGUGUAACGGAUAGAGCACGCGCUCCUGGAAAGUGUGAGGUGCGGGUUGUAGUCCUGCCUGGCGCU